UAAGGAAUAUUGGUCAAUGGGCGCAAGCCUGAACCAGCCAUGCCGCGUGCAGGAAGACGGCCCUAUGGGUUGUAAACUGCUUUUGUUAGGGAAUAAACCCCCGCUCGUGAGCGGGGCUGAAGGUACCUGAAGAAUAAGCAUCGGCUAACUCCGUGCCAGCAGCCGCGGUAAUACGGAGGAUGCAAGCGUUAUCCGGAUUCAUUGGGUUUAAAGGGUGCGCAGGCGGAUUGAUAAGUCAGGGGUGAAAUCCCACAGCUCAACUGUGGAACUGCCUUUGAUACUGUCAGUCUAGAGUAUAGUUGAAGUGGGCGGAAUGUGUCAUGUAGCGGUGAAAUGCUUAGAUAUGACACAGAACACCGAUCGCGAAGACAGCUCGCUAAGCUAUAACUGACGCUCAUGCACGAAAGCGUGGGGAUCAAACAG
rnacentral:rRNA from 1 species